GCGAGGGGGUCAGGGACUGGGCCAAGCUCAGAAGCGGGGAGAAGAGCGAGACAGAGAUGCUCUGAGCAGGGGAGACAGGGAUCCCGGGCUGCUGCCGCUACCAACAAGGGUACACACUGCGGUCCUCAAGGCCAGGAGGGGGGUGGGGGCAGGGAAUGCCUCAGCCAACAGGGCAGCGGCUCGGCCCUGCUGCUGGCCCGGUGGGAAGUAGCCUGGGGCCCCGCGACUGAAAUCCGAGCCAGGCCUGGGCAGUCUCCGCUAGAAACGCUCUGGGCGCGCACUCCUGGAGACGCGGAGGCCCGGGCGCUCCAGACCAGUGUCCUUGUAGGAGGCUUCUUCACGAAGCUUAGAGUUUGGCCUUUCAUAGGGAAAGACUUGCUCGGGAGCAAGUCUAAGGGAUUUUAAGGGAUUUUAAAUCUUCCUGGGCCAGGGCUAGGGAGCUCUAGUGACAGUGUCUUGGUCUGGAAUCCAACUCUCCAAUUUUGAGGCCGCAGGGAGGAAUUCUGAGACUUUAGAGGCCGCACAGCCUUCAGCGCGCUCACCGCGUCCAGGCGUCAGUGAGGGGCUAUCUCGAGGCGCGAGUGCACAAAAGGUAGCGCGAGUCUCUUCUCAGGCGAUCCAGAUAAGAGGAAAUGAGAGCCGGGUUUUCUGACUUCCAACUCAUUAGGGACCAGGUUCUUUUUCUUCAGGAUCAGGCACAGAGACUGACUGAAUGGCUCCAAUUAUCAGGAUUUGAAAACCCAGUAUCAGAAUCUACCACUUUGUGCCUGAGGGAGAGGGAAAAGCGGAUACCCACCUGUGUCGCUGUUUGCGUGCCAAGUCCAGGAACAGUCCAUACAGCCCUGCUGCAUCCCACGACGCUGUCACAAAGCAGGAGUUCAUCCGAGGCCAAGAUGGAGAAACUGAGGCCCAGAAAUUGAUGUCCAGAAUGCUUUGCUCUUAGCCACUGUACUAUUAUGGCAUAUUUUAUCUUUAUGUAUUGCAUCAUUUCAUGGAUUCAAGUUUAUCAAUGUCCUUUGACAAGUUUAAAAAUCUGUCUGCUAAAAUCUAUCCAAUACAUUAAGGAAAAGUCCCACUUGGCACAUCUCCCACACCAGAUGUUAAUUAUUCAUACUGCAUGACUGAGGAUUUUGGAGGCAGAGAGAGAUUCAUCUGCAAUAUUUGGAACACCAAUGGAGGUCUACGUCAACACAGAAUUUAUACAGCAGCUGGUGCUAGUCAGAGCUAAUGACAGAAUUUCAGUUUAAUAAAAAGACCCCCAACUGAGCACACCAUCUUGAAAAAAGUAUACUUAUCAAACAGCUUUCAAUCAGUUCAAGAGAGACACCUUAAUUGGGGAGAGGAAGAAUUGCAGAGUAGUUUGUAAUCAUGCCAAUUCCAGAUCAAUAACUGCAUGUCUGUUCUUUGGUAGAAAUAGCUUUUGCUUUAUAUUAAGUAAUCACAUAUAUAUUCUCUCUAUUUGGAUAAGGAAACCUUCGCUUUAUUUGACAAUGUAUAAUGAUAUACUCUUCUAAUUCACCUCUGUGUCUUCACAAUAAACAUGAGUAAAAUUUAGACAAGUGAUGGUAAAGGUCAAUAUAAUUAUUUAUUUUUAAAAUAAAUUUUGUAUCUAACAGGAAAGCAGUUCUUAUGAAAUUUUUAUAUUUUCAAAAAUUGUUUUGUUCAAAUAAAAUUUUAUGAGUAAAGUUAAA
rnacentral:lncRNA from 1 species